rnacentral:rRNA from 1 species
GACGAACGCUGGCGGCGUGCCUAACACAUGCAAGUUGAGCGACGAACCAGGGCUUGCCCUGGGGCAAAGCAGCGAACGGGUGAGUAACACGUGGGUAACCUGCCCCGAUGACCGGGACAACCCGAGGAAACUCGGGCUAAUACCGGAUGUGUCCCCUGGACCCAAGUCCCGUGGGCAAAGGAAGCUUCGGCCUCCACAUUGGGAGGGGCCCGCGGCCCAUUAGCUUGUUGGUGAGGUAAGAGCUCACCAAGGCAACGAUGGGUAGCUGGUCUGAGAGGACGAUCAGCCACACUGGGACUGAGACACGGCCCAGACUCCUACGGGAGGCAGCAGUGGGGAAUCUUGCGCAAUGCGCGAAAGCGUGACGCAGCAACGCCGCGUGGGGGAAGAAGGCCUUCGGGUUGUAAACCCCUUUCAGGAGGGACGAAGGUGCGGCCGUGAACAGCGGUCCGCACUGACGGUACCUCCAGAAGAAGCCCCGGCUAACUACGUGCCAGCCGCCGCGGUAA